ACUCCUAGGAUCUCAGAAUGUGACCAUUCUUAUAGAACCUAUAAAAUGAUGAUUCCGUUAAGGCCAUUAGAGUAGGCUCUCAUCCAAUCUGACUGGUGUUCUUAGAAAAAGACAAAACUUGAAUACGCAAAGACACACCAGAGUUGUGCCUGCACAGAGAAAAGGCUGUGUGAGAACACAGCAAGGAGACAGCCCUCUGCAAGCCAAGGUUCUAAAUCAUUGAAAUAAUGAUUACUUCAACAUCUGAAAUUUUGCAUGUAUAAAUGCUCUGGACUUAAGAAAUCUUCUCAGAGUCCUUAUUUGAACUUGUCAGGGAAGUGGCAUCAUUAUGCAUUUCUCAACAAAGAUCCCUAAGUCCUUCAAGGAGGCUCCAUGUCAUAUGGAAAGACAUAUUGUAAUGAGAGACGUG